UGUUUCGACUAGGGGGUCAUCCCGACUUACCAACUCGAUGCAAACUGCGAAUACCGAAGAAUGUUAUCACGGGAGACACACGGCGGGUGCUAACGUCCGUCGUGAAGAGGGAAACAACCCAGACCGCCAGCUAAGGUCCCAAAGUCAUGGUUAAGUGGGAAACGAAGUGGGAAGGCUCAGACAGCCAGGAUGUUGGCUUAGAAGCAGCCAUCAUUUAAAGAAAGCGUAAUAGCUCACUGGUCGAGUCGGCCCGCGCGGAAGAUGUAACGGGGCUAAACCAUGCACCGAAGCUGCGGCAGCGACACAAAGUGUUGUUGGGUAGGGGAGCGUUCUGUAAGCCUGCGAAGGUGUACUGUGAGGUAUGCUGGAGGUAUCAGAAGUGCGAAUGCUGACAUAAGUAACGAUAAUGCGGGUGAAAAACCCGCACGCCGGAAGACCAAGGGUUCCUGUCCAACGUUAAUCGGGGCAGGGUGAGUCGACCCCUAAGGCGAGGCUGAAAAGCGUAGUCGAUGGGAAACGGGUUAAUAUUCCCGUACUGGUGGUAACUGCGAUGGGGGAACGGAGAAGGCUAGGUUGUCCGGGCGACGGUCGUCCCGGUUCAAGCAGGUAGGCAGAGUGAUUAGGCAAAUCCGGUCACUUAAUGCUGAGAUGUGAUGACGAACCAC
rnacentral:rRNA from 1 species